AUCUGCAUAGCAGUGAAAAUGUAUGCUAUGUCUUCUAAUGAUGCUUCCUACUCUCAGAAAAAUGAUGGUUCUUAAAUGGUUCUUCAGAUGUCUUCAUGGUUCUUUAAAGAACCAUCAUACGUCAAAGAACCUUAUUAUUUUGUAGAUGGUUCUUUAGGUAUUACAAAUAGUUCUUUAAAGAACAAAAGGUUCUUCAUCCUUAGCUAUCUAAGUUUGAUGGUGUAAAAUGGCAUAAAUAUUUAUUCACUAUAAUGAGGCUGUGAAUUAUACUGUGUGUUUUGUUUGUGUGCAUGUGUGUGUGAAGGGGGAGGGCGGGUUACCCUUUAAGAGCAGAUGGUAGGAAACUGAAUAUUCAAAUAAAAGUUAGAAAUACUUGCUUAAAAAUAUACUGGUGGCAGGAGUGGGGGCCAAAGCCUAAAGACCCUACCCCCAACACCCCUAACCCCGCAAACCCAUUGAUCACAAAUAAUGUGGUAAUAGAAUAUGGAAUUUAUUAUUAAGAAGUUUAUGAAUAUGAUGAGUUAACAAACAGUAGACACAAUACACACAUUCAAAUACUGUACUUUAGUUUUAAAUUUUAAUAAAGUAUUACUAUUUUCUGCUUCAAGGUAUUACUUUUGAGAUUAUUAUAUAUAUUAGAAAAUAUAGCAUAAUGAUAAUACUAGUUAUUGUAAACUUUACAAACCACCCAGCAGUAUGUAAAGUCAAAUUAUAAAAUACAAGUAAAUAACAAUUGCACAACAGAAUCUCAGUGUAAUGAACAUACUUAUGUGUUCAUUACCGACACACUUACUUAGUUUUGACAAAGCACACUGCUUAGGUAAAGGAUCUCAGUACUUGUUUAUCACUGAGUAAUUUGUUAAUAUGUGUUUCGAGCCAAAUAAAUGACAGAGAGAGAGAGAGAGAGAGAGGUUAGAACACGUCAAACUAUGGCAACCUCCCGAAAGAGAGGGGAGGGGGGGUCAGUUGUUGGGAUGCGCAUGUGCAGACAGAUCCCGCGAGCUGCGGGCCUUGACCUUUCUAAGGGGAAAAAACACUUUCUCACGGACAGUGACAGAAGCGGAUAAAGUCUUGAGUACCUGCUGGUCUUUGAAGCUCUGGAUUCUGGGACUGUUGGAAAAGCUCCAACAAAAUGAGGAAGAGGAGGGAGAAACACAAUUAGAUUGAAUUACAAUUGGAUGGAAGUCGAGGACAAGGAGAAGGAAGCUUAGGAUGAGGAGGAAGAAAAGCAGCAGGAGCAUCUUUAGGGAUCUCUAUGAUGUCAUUGAGAGGUAGCGGUGAGAGGUGGGACCUCGACUCAUCCAGCUGGAGAGCCUGAUCAGAAGGCAUCGAACAUUAACUCUGCUCUUCCAGGACACCCAGACUCGGCUGCUGGCAAUAGCGAGGGAGUGCGGCCACCGCUGGGAUGACGUGAACGCCAAACAGGAGUCCAUCACAGGUCGACUGCAGAGUGGGAGGGAUUUGAAGCACAAAGGGAGGAGCUUGUCGUUUGGUUGGCUGAUAUGGAUGCCCGCCUGAGUGAGGUUGACCAGCUGACAGGAAACACCUAUGAAAAACUGAAACAACUGCAGGUGUGGGGUUGUUUUCAUAUGACAUAUUUGAUAUGAUACAUACGUCAGAGACAUUAUCCUAAACUGGACUAACAAAGAACCAGGAGUCCAACAUGAAACUUACCUUGCAUAAGGUAAGGCUGAAGUUCAUUGAUAAUUUUAAUCGAAAACUUGUUGUUGAAAUAUUUUUACUGGUCAUGCAAACAUCUGCUGAUGAAAAUGUGUUGAUUUAUUGGUCUGUUAUGAAGCUAUUGCUAUUUCUAAUGUGUUUUUAUCACUUUCUGAUGUUUUAUUAAUUAAACAAUACAUGUAUUAAUUGUUGUGUUAUCUAUAGAUAUAGUUUUUAUAUACAUUUGUUUAUAGUAUAGUAAAAAUGUUUAAUUAUUACUGUUUAAAUAACUAAUAUGUGACAUGUAUUAGUAGUGAUGUUGUGCUGAGGGUUAAAAUGCCUUUUUGUCUUUUGGUAUAUUACGAAAUGGCAAUAAACCAUUAAUAUAUGUCUAUGCUGUGCUCGUAUUUAUUUUACCCUACUCAUAUUUA